ensembl:lncRNA
GCGUCCUUGGGCCCUCCCUCCAGUUCACACGGGACUUGGUGAGGACAUAAGCUACUGCACGCUCAGUGUGGCUUCCAAUUCCUCUGUAUUUGAAAGCAGCUGUGUGUAUUUUCCUCAAAAUGCCCUCUAUAUUCAGAGCAAGCAGUGUGAAUAUCACUCAGAAGUUACUACAGGGAUUUUUCUGACAAGGUUUGUGUGGGUUUUUAAAAUCUUAUACAAACAUCCCUUUUUAAGAUAAGAGAACAGCUUUGGGUACAACAUUGAACUCCACCCAACAUGAUAAGGAAAUGUUUUUAAUGCCUGAUAGAUCUUUUUAAAAGCUUUGGUCAUUUAACGGGCAGUUUCAGAGACUACACAGUAUCUAAACUAACGAGAAUCCUGCACCCAGACACUGUUCUUCAUUGACAGAACUCUGUAAUCCUUGUUCUUGGUAGAGCCCUUCAGAGUCCUCGAGGAAAGUCAGAAGAACACGGUAGUUCCAUCCUGACCAGAUCCUUUACGUAGUUCUUAAGGCUUGUCGGCGACUUAGUGCGCAGCACAGUGCGUCUAAAUAGGAGUCAGGAGUCUAAAUGGGUGACCUCGGGCUGCUUACGGGCAGGCCUGCAGGUGGAGUCCAGCCAAGCAGCUUCCUCACCCCAGCUCUUGGGUUGUACUGCCAUAACAGCCAGGUCGCAAAACUUGAAAGGCUCCUAUUGUACAACAUGUGUCUGUCUGGUAAGGAAACAUUCAGUCACCAGAUACAUGUGAACUGGACCGUCAGUCCUGUAGGAUGCCCUGGGAGGGCAGUGAAGUCCCAGGGGAGUGAGCCACGUGUGGGUUUGAGCUCAUCGAGAAGUCACUAGACACAGCUGCCUGCUGCCUGUUACGUGUCCCGCACCCUUUACAGCCAGUUGUAUGACAUACUUCAGUUUUAUUUUAUAGAAAGCUAGGACUAGAUUAUAAAGAACACUAAACGCAUUAUUGUGCUAUGUUAAUAUCACAGAACUUCCAUUAAAAUGGAUUUUAGGAUUUACCUUGAGUAUUGAUGACUAAUUGUUAGGAUUCAAAACCAGUUAAGUGAUAAGAAUCAAUUGAUGUGGUUUUCCUAAGUAAGAUUCAUAAAACGUGAAGUUUCUAAGUGGCUCCCCAACAAUUAGAAUUCUUCAUGACUUUUCUUACAAAUAAACUUCUAUCAGGGUCAAUGUCUCAAUUCAGCUACUACAGACAAAACGCUACGCCAGACUGUCGGGGGAGCCGACACACGGACAGAGUGAGAGGUGCAGACAGGUCUUUGUGCUGUGGCACAUUUGGAAACAUUUCACAGCAGUCGUUUCUGCCACAGCUAAUUAUUUAAUAGUCAGGAGAGAUGUUCCAAGAACAAGCUUGUGUAGUUUUAACUGGCAUUUAAUUUCUGGACUGACGCUCAGUGAAGCUGUUCAGCAGACUGACAGUCACCUGCAGGAGAAAGCAGAGGCCCGAGAGCCCGGUUGAAGUGUUACUCUGUCAAAUAUUUAUUCCUGUGUGACAUGCUAGAUUCCCAUGGAUGUAGCUGAUCAUUUGUAUUUUGUUAAUAUUACCUAACUUUACAUAAACUCUAUCAUAAUAAAAUAUUUUUUGCAUCACCCUUUGCAUGCU